rnacentral:rRNA from 1 species
GACGAACGCUGGCGGCGUGCUUAACACAUGCAAGUCGAGCGGUAAGGCCCUUUCGGGGGUACACGAGCGGCGAACGGGUGAGUAACACGUGGGUGACCUGCCCUCAGCUCUGGGAUAAGCCCGGGAAACUGGGUCUAAUACCGGAUAUGACUCCACGGUGCAUGUCGUGGGGUGGGAAAGCCUUGUGCGGCUGAGGAUGGGCCCGCGGCCUAUCAGCUUGUUGGUGGGGUGAUGGCCACCAAGGCGACGACGGGUAGCCGGCCUGAGAGGGCGACCGGCCACACUGGGACUGAGACACGGCCCAGACUCCUACGGGAGGCAGCAGUGGGGAAUCUUGCGCAAUGGGCGAAAGCCUAACG